UAGUCUGGUUGGUCCUGGUACCAUCUUGGC
rnacentral:piRNA from 1 species